AAUGCUUAACACAUGCAAGUCUACUUGAACUUCGGUUUGGGUGGCGGACGGGUGAGUAACGCGUAAAGAACUUGCCUCACAGUUAGGGACAACAUUUGGAAACGAAUGCUAAUACCUGAUAUUAUGAUUUUAGGGCAUCCUAAGAUUAUGAAAGCUAUAUGCGCUGUGAGAGAGCUUUGCGUCCCAUUAGCUAGUUGGAGAGGUAACGGCUCACCAAGGCGAUGAUGGGUAGCCGGCCUGAGAGGGUGAACGGCCACAAGGGGACUGAGACGCGGCCCUUACUCCUACGGGAGGCAGCAGUGGGGAAUAUUGGACAAUGGACCAAAAGUCUGAUCCAGCAAUUCUGUGUGCACGAUGACGUUUUUCGGAAUGUAAAGUGCUUUCAGUUGGGAAGAAAAAAAUGACGGUACAAACGGAAGAAGUGACGGCUAAAUACGUGCCAGCAGCCGCGGUAAUACGUAUGUCACAAGCGUUAUCCGGAUUUAUUGGGCGUAAAGCGCGUCUAGGUGGUUAUGUAAGUCUGAUGUGAAAAUGCAGGGCUCAACUCUGUAUUGCGUUGGAAACUGCAUGACUAGAGUACUGGAGAGGUAAGCGGAACUACAAGUGUAGAGGUGAAAUUCGUAGAUAUUUGUAGGAAUGCCGAUGGGGAAGCCAGCUUACUGGACAGAUACUGACGCUAAAGCGCGAAAGCGUGGGUAGCAAACAGGAUUAGAUACCCUGGUAGUCC
rnacentral:rRNA from 1 species